ensembl:lncRNA
CUGGUACUCUUACGUUGUUAGGUUAAUAUGAUUAACGGGAAAAACACAUUUUCCAAAUACACACAUAUUAAUAUAACUAAAAAGUAAAACAAAAGGUAAAUGGACUGAUUUUUAUGUAGCACUUUUCUUGCCUCUCAUUUUUUCUUUAUACAUCCUUGCUUGCAGUAGGCACAAUAACGGGAGCAACAGCGAUAACAGGAAAGUCUGAGCUGACUGAGGAGUCCAGGAGAUCUCUCUGGUGCUGCUUCAGAUUCUUCUACCUUUAUUUGCUCUUGAUAGAUAUUUGGAGAAUCUAGUUGAACUGUUUGAUUAGCUUUGUUGCUAGUUGUCAGUGUCUUAGACGCUUUGUUUUGUAUGUAGAAUUUCUCAAUCUCACUAAGCAUGCGGACCUUAAGUUGUUGGAGCUCGGUAUAUUUUUCAUCAAGUGAUUUGUGUUCUCCAUCCCUGCCACUUACAGAUAAAAACGUAUUACUUUGCCCAUGUUCCAACAUUUUUCUUGUUUUCUCAACUGAUGUCUUUUCUUUCUGAAAUAUUGAUCUCCUAACAAAAUGAUUGAUCACCUUUACUCUUUUAUCCAUAUUGUUUCUCAUUUCUUGACCUCUGAGCUUCAUCUGAUUUAUUUCAUUUCGUUCUAUUCUAGUGUCCUUCCAGAUUUGUUUCAAAAACUCAGUUUUUAAAAUUCCCUUCUGUGUGAAGUCAUCUUCCUCUGCUGACAAGAUGGACAACGUUGCAAGAUUUGUUUUCUUGACAUUUCCAAAUUCUUCACCUUCUCCUACUAACAGCAGACCUUCCUUGUCAGGUGUCAAGUAUCUUUUGCUUCCUUCAAGAUUAACUGCAACAUCCUUCAUCCUCUGCUUAAAUUCAUGUUCAUUGGUCUCUUCAUCCUGAUGCUCAUGUAAGCAUUGUUUUACAACAUCCUCAGUUUGGAUUGCUUUGUCAAAUGUUGUCUUAAACACAUGUUUCUUUUGUUGUUGUAUCUUGUCAUAAUCUGCAGUAAUUUUAAUUUUCUGCUUAUAAAUUCUGACCCAAUUUUGUUCAUAUGUGGAGAUCACUUGUAAUAUUUUUUCAUUUUCCCCCUCUACUCUCUUAAUAUAUGUCGGCAAGUCUUGAUGAAUCAGUCUAUUUAGUUUUCCUAUAAGGUUUCUUGUAGAGAUUGUAACACUACUGAGGAUGUCCUCUCUGGGUUGUACAUCAGACAGUUCACCUUUCAGGGAUUUCCUCGCAAUUAGUUUCACUUUCAGAAUCUCUAGUGAUUUCAUUUCAUCCAUGACUUGGUCUCCCCUCAUUUCCAUCCCAGACUGCUGUUCUUCCACAUUUCUCCUUUCCUUCAACAACAGUUCUUGUUCUUUGGCAAUGUCAGUCUUCAUCUCUUUCAUCUCUUCUUUUUCUUCACUCAUGAUUCCCUUUGCACGUUCAAGCUCUUCUUGCUUCUUCUUCAGAUUCCUCAUCAGACUCUCCACUUUUGCUCUUUCACUCUGUAAUUCCUUUUUCAUGAUUUCCACUUCUUUUGUUUGUCUUCUGAGCUCUUCUUGCUUCUUCUUCAGAUUCCUCAUCAGACUCUCCACUUUUGCUCUUUCACUCUGUAAUUCCUUUUUCAUGAUUUCCACUUCUUUUGUUUGACUUCUGAGUUCAUCUUCCUUGACUUUUUCUUCAUUAUGUGUUAAGAAAAUCUUGCUUAAAAUGUCUUCAAGUCUUUCUUUUUCCGUUUGAACCUGAAGGAUACAAUUUUUAAUCUUGGCUUUUUCGUCAUUUGUCUCAUGUAACAGCCUGUUUACAUGUUCCAUCUUAUUGAGCAGUUCAAGCUUUAUGGUUUCCAUUGAGUCUCGUUCUUCUUUUAUAUUUUGUUUCUUUUCUUCCAAUAUUUCAAAUUGUUUCUUGAUGUCAGACAUCAACACCUUCAAAUCCAUUUUCUCUUUAUUCAACACCUCACUUUCUCUCUCCAGAUCUUCUCUGUCAUGUUUUAGAUCUUCUUUCACUUUAUCAAGUUCUCGUUUGUCCAGUUCAAACUGCUUCUUCCAUUCAUUUUCUGUGCAUUCUCUCUUGGUGACCAUGUCUGAAAGGAUACUUCUCACACCUUCCUUUUCUCUCUCUAACAUUUCAGUGAAACAGCGAAUGCUUUCUUUCAGUUCGUCUUGGGUUGGAAGUUUUUCUUCCAACACUGUUUGCAGCCUUGACCUGUUGUCAACAUUUUGUAGUAAUCUCUCCAUUUUGGCUUUUAUAUCCUCCUUCAGUUGUUGAAGUUUCACUUUCAGAAUCUCUAGCAAUUUCAUUUCAUCCAUGACUUGGUCUCCUCUCAUUUCCAUCUCAGACCGCUCUUCUUCCAUAUUUCUCCUUUCCUUCAACAACAGUUCUCGUUCUUUGGCAAUGUCAGUCUUCAUCUCUUUCAUCUCUUCUUUUUCUUCACUCAUGAUUCCCUUUGCACGCCCAAGCUCUUCUUGCUUCUUCUUCAGAUUCCUCAUCAGACUCUCCACUUUUGCUCUUUCACUCUGUAAUUCCUUUUUCAUGAUUUCCACUUCUUUUGUUUGACUUCUGAGGCCAUCUUCCUUGACUUUUUCUUCAUUAUGUGUUAAGAAAAUCUUGCUUAAAAUGUCUUCAAGUCUUUCUUUUUCCGUUUGAACCUGAAGGAUACAAUUUUUAAUCUUGGCUUUUUCGUCAUUUGUCUCAUGUAACAGCCUGUUUACAUGUUCCAUCUUAUUGAGCAGUUCAAGCUUUAUGGUUUCCAUUGAGUCUCGUUCUUCUUUUAUAUUUUGUUUCUUUUCUUCCAAUAUUUCAAAUUGUUUCAUGAUGUCAGACAUCAACACCUUCAAAUCCAUUUUCUCUUUAUUCAACACCUCACUUUCUCUCUCCAGAUCUUCUCUGUCAUGUCUCAGAUCUUCUUUCACUUUAUCAAGUUCUCGUUUGUCCAGUUCAAACUGCUUCUUCCAUUCAUUUUCUGUGCAUUCUCUCUUGGUGACCAUGUCUGAAAGGAUACUUCUCACACCUUCCUUUUCUCUCUCUAACAUUUCAGUGAAACAGCGAAUGCUUUCUUUCAGUUCGUCUUGGGUUGGAAGUUUUUCUUCCAACACUGUUUGCAGCCUUGACCUGUUGUCAACAUUUUGUAGUAAUCUCUCCAUUUUGGCUUUUAUAUCCUCCUUCAGUUGUUGAAGUUUCACUUUCAGAAUCUCUAGCAAUUUCAUUUCAUCCAUGACUUGGUCUCCUCUCAUUUCCAUCUCAGACCGCUCUUCUUCCAUAUUUCUCCUUUCCUUCAACAACAGUUCUCGUUCUUUGGCAAUGUCAGUCUUCAUCUCUUUCAUCUCUUCUUUUUCUUCACUCAUGAUUUCCUUUGCACGUUCAAGCUCUUCUUGCUUCUUCUUCAGAUUCCUCAUCAGACUCUCCACUUUUGCUCUUUCACUCUGUAAUUCCUUUUUCAUGAUUUCCACUUCUUUUGUUUGUAUUCUGAGGCCAUAUUCCUUGACUUUUUCUUCAUUAUGUGUUAAGAAAAUCUUGCUUAAAAUGUCUUCAAGUCUUUCUUUUUCCAUUUGAACCUGAAGGAUACAAUUUUUAAUCUUGGCUUUUUCGUCAUUUGUCUCAUGUAACAGCCUGUUUACAUGUUCCAUCUUAUUGAGCAGUUCAAGCUUUAUGGUUUCCAUUGAGUCUCGUUCUUCUUUUAUAUUUUGUUUCUUUUCUUCCAAUAUUUCAAAUUGUUUCAUGAUGUCAGACAUCAACACCUUCAAAUCCAUUUUCUCUUUAUUCAGCACCUCACUUUCUCUCUCCAGAUCUUCUCUGUCGUGUCUCAGAUCUUCUUUCACUUUAUCAAGCUCUCGUUUGUCCAGUUCAAACUGCUGCUUCCAUUCAUUUUCUGUGCAUUCUCUCUUGGUGACCAUGUCUGAAAGGAUACUUCUCACACCUUCCUUUUCUCUCUCUAACAUUUCAGUGAAACAGCGAAUGCUUUCUUUCAGUUCGUCUUGGGUUGGAAGUUUUUCUUCCAACACUGUUUGCAGCCUUGACCUGUUGUCAACAUUUUGUAGUAAUCUCUCCAUUUUGGCUUUUAUAUCCCCCUUCAGUUGUUGAAGUUUCACUUUCAGAAUCUCUAGCGAUUUCAUUUCAUCCAUGACUUGGUCUCCUCUCAUUUCCAUCUCUUUCUCUUCAUCUUUGAUGUUUCUCCUUACCUUCAACAACAGUUCUUUUCUAUUCUCACGUCUAGUUUUCAUCUGGAUGACUUUUUCUUUUUCCUGGUUACAUUUUUUUAUCUCUUUUUUUAUCAAGUCUUGUUUUGUGUCUUGUAAGAUCACCCUUUUUAUACCAUCCUUAGUCGUUUCUCUUUUAUAUUCUUUCUUUACAGUCAGAUACUCAGUACUGUGUUUUUCUUUUUGUUUGCCCCAAAACAUUUUAUUGAAAUCUUUCAGUUUCAUUUUUUUUUCAGUUUCUUUUAUUUCAGUUGUUUUCCUUUCCUCUUUUAUGUUUUCAUUUUUUUGUUUUAAUAUGUCUAUUUCUUUUUUGAUUUUACAGCCUCUCAUGUCAAGUUUCUGGUUCUUUUUCAACAACUCUUUCACUCUUUCAAGAUCCUCUUUGUCUUGACUCUCGUCUGCACUUAAGUCAUCCAAGGCAUCUUUUUCUAUCUCAUAUAUUUUUUCCCUUUCAUUUUCAUGCUUUCCUUGCUCCGUCUUGAUUUUUGUCUCCACUUGUUCCCCAUGUUUUGGCUCUUGUUGUAUGUUUUUUAAUGCACACCGUAUAAUUUCCUUUUGCCUAUUUAAUUCACUUUUAAUAUUCAGUGUUUCUUUCCUUUUGGUCAUGUAGAAAUUUUUUUGGUCUUGCAUGUGUUUAUUUUCAUUCUGAAUUAUUCCAAUGAUGAAUUGAGUGUUUUUAAUUACCUUUUUAUAUUCCCCUAAGUAUUUCUUGAUUAGUUCCCAUUGUUUUUGAAUUUGUUUCCUUUUUUCUUUCAUCCUCAUGUCUUCAAUUUCACUUUGCAUCCCUUUCUUUUCUUUUUGCAACUUCUGCUUUAUUUCUUGUUCACCUUGAUGUUUGAUGAUCUCCUCUCGUCGUUGUUCAACCUCCUUUUUCUGCUUUGUUUCUCUCACGAGGGCAGUUCUUUCUUCUUUGAAAGUAGCCCAUAUUCUUUUUAUCUUCUGUUCUUUUUGAAUGCUUCUUUUGAUUACACGUUGGUUUUCUCUUUUCUUCAUCUCCAGCUCAACCACCAGAACUUCUAUCUCUUGUCUUUCCCUUUUAAUAUUUUCUAGUCUCAUAUCAAGCUUCUGUUUUUCUCUUUGGAUUUUUUCCCAGAUGUUGAUUGUUUCAUCCAUCUCUGCAGUGUCUUGUAUGGUAACUCUUCCAAAGAGUAUAUUAAGCUGAUAUUUUAACCUCUUCAUUUUGUUUGUUAUAUUCUUAUUUUCAGCCUCAACUUCUCUGAAUCCUUUUUUGUCCUUUUCUAAAUGAGCAUUCACAUUUUCUAGAAUUUUCAUCUCUGUCCUAAUUGUUCCCAUGUGUAAAUUAAACUUGUCUCUUAUGUCUUGGAUGUAAAUAGUAUACUGAGAAACUUUUAAGCUGUGGUUUUUGAUUUUCUCCAUUAACAUUUUCACAUCUUUCCUUCCAAAAUGUUUUUCAUGUUCAUUGGGUAGAUGGAUGAACAGAUUAUGGUCUCUCUGCUUCUCCUCAGCCAGCUCUUCCAUCUGUCGUUUCAAUUUUACCCUUAACACUUCUAGUUCAUCCCUUUUUCUCAUAGUCAUCUCCAGUCUUUGGUCUAAUUCUCUUCUUUUCUUUUUGAUCUCGGUCCUCAAUGCUUCCUUUUCUUGUUGUAUUUCAUACCACAUUAUUUCAAUUUCCUCCUUUUUUCUCAUACUUUUUCUAAAAAAACGCUCAAAUUCUUUUACCUUUAUUUUCAAUUCUGAUUGCAGCAGCUCCAUUUCUCUUAUUUGCCUUUUGGUCAUGUGUACUCCGUCAUCAAGCUCCUGUUCUUUUCUUUCAGUUUUCUCCCUCAAAUGGUUCACCUGUUCCUCCUGUAUUUCUGUUUCAGUUAGCUGUUUAACCAUUUUCUCAUUCUUUAUCGCUGUUUGGAUCUGUUCUGUCAUCUCAGUCUCUUCUCUCUUGAUUAUUUGUUUUACAUUCUCACUAACUGAUUUUUUAUUUUUUUGACCCAGACUGUCUAAUGAAAGUUUUACCUCCUCCAGUUUCUCAUUAACUUGUUUGAGGCUUUCUGUUCCCUCAGUUUCUUUGUCCAUUUUGUUUUUUGUCAGUUUAUCUCUUUUAUUGUCCAUUGUCUUCUUAAUUUCAGUCUUGAAAAUUUCAAGAGCAGUUCUUUGCUUAGGUGUACUACCAUGUUCCAUGUCUGGUUUUGCGCCUUUUGUCAAGUUAAGGUUAAUGCAGUCAAGGUCUUUAAACUGUCUUAGUUUUAUUUCAGUCUCCUUCAUACUAAUUUCUAUCUCUUCAAUUUUCCUUCUGGUCUUAGCAGCUAUUUUCUCGACUGUGCUCUUAACUUUUGCCAUUUUUUCUAAAUUCUGCCGAAUCAGUUCAGUUUGCCUCUGCAUUUUUAUUUUAAAGAUGUCUAAUCCAUCUCUCUCUUUCAAAGUAUUUUCUAAUCUUUGAUCUAAUUCUCUUCUCUUCUUUUUCACUGCAGUUUUCAUUGAUUUUAUAUUGCUCAUUUCUUCUGUCAUAUGUACUUCACUUUGCUUUAUUUUGGUUUUUACAAUUUCCAAAAACUCUUGAAACUGUUUGAUGUCUUUUAGCAAUCCUUCAAUUUCACUGCCUUCAUUCUGUUGAUAUUUGUCCAUGUUAUUUUUUUCCGCUAGGUUCUCAAGUCCUCCUCUUAGCGUUCUUAUAAUCUCUUGUGUUUUGUAAAUCUCUGCCCUGAGUCUUUGUAUAUCGGCUCCUCUGUCCUUUUUAUCUUCAUCGGUGUGUUCAACAUGUUUUUUCAUCUCUUCUCCUGAUUUCUGAAUUAGUUUUUGCUUGUUAACAUUAAGCCUUAUCAAGCUAGACUCUUGUUUUAUUUUUUUGGCAUCGUCCCCCUCUUGUACUUCAUAUUUUAUUAUUUCAUUUUUGAAAACUUUGGUGUUCAGCAUCAAAAUCUUUCUCUGUUCAGUUUCUUCCAACAGCUUAGUUAAUACUUCCUGGGCAUUUUCAGUUUCCCCGACUGUAAUUACAGUGUCUGCCCUCUGCAGGUCAUUUAUUUCCAAAAUGAGCCUUUUUAUAUCUUGAGUUUUUUCGUUCAUGUUAUCAAUAGUGUACUUUAUUUGUUCCUUUAUUUCCCCCUCUUGCUGCUUUAGGUUACGUAUCAGUUUUUCCACUUCUUCCCUUUCUCUUACAAUUAUCAGUAAUUCAGUUUUAUCAUGCACUACUUCUUCAUGAAUUUCAGUUCGCAUCUGUAAGCAAAAGUCCUGCUCCCCAUUUUUGCCUUCUGCAAAACAAUAUUUGGAUUCAAAAUGCUCCUUCUGUUGUUCUUUUAUUUUUUUAUUUUGAUGCUGAUCAUCUAAUGUUACAGAAUUUUGUAAUGAUGUUGUAUCUGUUAUACUUUUUUUCCCUUUUUUGUCCUUUGGAAUUGCUGAUGUUUGAUCCUCAAGGGAGUCUGUGUCUAUUUCAUACUGUGAUUCUUGAAGUUUGGAUGCGUUCACUGAAAAAGUAUGUUUGAUUGUAGAUUGUGCCAAUAUCCAUUUGUUGACCCAAGUUUUCAUGGAUGUCAGUUUUUCCUUCACAAAAACAGAAAAAAAGAGCUUUUUUUGUUUUUGAUGACACCAAGACAACAAUAAAGAUCUUCUUAAAACAUCUAUGUUUUAAUUUUUUGUUUCACAUUUAUGGAUCUUACUAGGGUUGGGCCAUAUGUAAAAAUUUUCCAACCGACAAUUGUCAGUCCAAUAAUCGACGAUGGGCGAUAUAUUCGCGCAUACGCAGACUUGUUGAUUGGCAGAGCAAUGUAGCCAUGCAUGGAGUGAUUUGCACAUUUACAACACAGAUGAAGUCCAAACAUGGACGAACUAAUUUCCCCAAAAAAUUAGGGCUGUCAACAUUUAUGCGGUCAUCACGAUUAACCCAUCUGGAGUGCAGAAUGAAUAAACUUUGGACAAACUGCUCGAAAUGCGUUGAGAGAGACAUUUAAGGGAUUUUGACUCAGUCUGCGAUCCAGAUGGGUUAAUUGUUAAACGCGUUAGUCGUGAUGGUGGCACUUUAACGUUGACAGCACUAAAGAAAUAUAAAGUUGCCAAGUUGGGAUUUCUUUGGCUUUAAACCAGAUGAAAAUAGUAAACCUAAGGAUGUAACCAAAACGGUCUGCCCCUUGUGCAGAUGUAUAAGUAUAAGUACUCAAACACGACUAACUUGCAUGAGCAUGUACGUGUCCACCAUCUGGCUGAGUAUGCUAGUGUAGUGAAGCAGAUUUUGGGGUAGGAUUUUACGUGAUGUCCUCGAUUGCAGCACUAACAUCCACCUUCCCAGCUGAUAAUUAGCAACCUUAUAAGAAACAGCUGCGCUUCACUACCACAUGGAGGUAUUUGGCAGUCUUUUCCCAUCCAAGGUGGCUGAGAGCAUUAGGCAGCUUAAGCACUGCAGAGCUCCUCAGGAAAGCUGCUCAUUUUAGUAUUGCCCUUUAGUAGUGAUGGCCAAAUGAAGCUUUCCGAAGCACUGAAGCUUGUAUUGAAAAACGGUUCAUUACUCGAAGCUUUUCAACACAGUCCUCUCUGGUGACAUCUGGUGGCCAAAAAUACAAAGAGCAGCUUGAAUCCACAAAAUAAAACCAACUGCUUCAUUAUGAUUGCCCACUCUACUGAGUGGAAUUCUGUCUGAUAUUGGGCCGCCGUUGUGUUGCUUUGAACGUGUAUUUUUUGGUGGUUAAAAAAAUGUGUUUUAUUUGUUUAAUAAAUAGUUUUGACCAGUAAACUCUCCUUGUUAUGCACCAUGGUGUGGUCUUCCUUUGCUUGUGACUUCUUGAUGUUGGUAAAUACAAUAAUUGAAAAAUACCACGUUACAUAUAAUAUGUACAACACAUUAUGGAGUAUGCUUCUGCUCUGAGGUCCUGCCUCCAUGCACUUAUGCAAUCAAUCGCUAGACAGGUGUAUUUAUAAAUAAUAUUAUAUUAGGGAAAUUUCCCCAGACAUAUAUUUGACCUGGGGGUAGAAUUGAUUGUGAAAUGGAAAAGGAAAAUGCUUAUGAACUUGCAAAUUAAAAACAUUAUGCAUUUAAGGUAACCCUUUUUCAUUUUUAUUUAAAAAGAAAAUUUGUUCUAGUGUGCGAUGGCCGAACCUGUUCCUUUUCGUGGAGAUAAUUUCUCCUGCCUUAAGGAAAAUCCCUUCACAUGGCCCAGAGGAGGCUGGAGUGCAGAGAAACUGGUAGAGAUGCAGUUAUACAGUCUACCUGGGCCCCACAAACGAUCAGAUAAAGAGAAUAAAUAAAUUCAAUUGCUGCACAUUUGGCAGACUAACAUUUUCAGAUUAAUUAAACAAUAAAAUAUAUAUUUUUACAACAUUACAUGUAAAGAGUCAAGUGGAAGUUUUUCUAAAGUUAUUUAAUGAUAUUUAUAUUAUGGAAGCAGAUUUUUGACAUUUUACCUUUUUCCCGUUUUCAGAUAUAAUAAACACGCACAAAACAAAAGCAAACGGCCAGAACACAAAGCUGGAAAACCCACCGGAUUGACAAAAAAUCAACUCAAAAUUCUCCCACACAACAGAACCUCCUCAAUUCCUCGCUGGCUCCAAAUCUCUCAGUGGAAUGAUCAGUGGUUCGCUGUCACCAUCAAAACACUCCACAAAUCCCGUGAAUGAUUCGCUUCCUUAUAAACCAUUGAAUCAGAUACCGAAGCAGUUAGGCUCUAAAUGAAGCUUCGGACGUCACCGAUCACGUGACUCUGGCCAAACGAAUCAAGCUUCGACACAGUGCUUCUGAAGCAGUGUGUUGAUUUUUUUGACACACGCACCAGAGCUUCAGCUUCAAGCGGGUCAUCACUACCCUUUAGAGAAUGGUAAGAGGGACUCUUGCAUUUGUCAUAAUGUGGCAUAUAGUAGGGUGGACCUUGACGACUGUUUCCCUCUUUUGUUACAGGAUUGUGCCAUACUGCUGCUGUUUUGUGCUAUCUUGUUUUGUGUCGUUCUUUCUUGUUCAGUUUUGUUCUGUCUUGUUGUGGCCUUACAAAUGUUUAUGGACUGGCCUCGACUGACUCUUUAUGAUCUUUUACUUGGAAUUGUUUUAUAUAUUGUAAUCUUGCUUUUAUAAAGAACUGUAACUUAGGGAUGGUUUGUUUUAUUUAUCUCUUUUACUAAUUUGUUUAAUGUUUUACGCUUAGUUUUAUUGCUUUAGUGGAGGUGCGGCCGCUUGUUGAGGGGCUAGGCACAUGAGGUGGAAUCCCCUCCUCGAUGCAUGAGAGUGUACACACCAGGCAUAGGUAGACCGCACCAUUUAGAUUUCAGUGUGAGUGACGGUGAGGUUUGCUGUGGAACUACAUUGGUGAGUAAUUGGUGGUACCCUUGGGCACUCCUCUCUGUAGGUUGCCUCAAGUGGCCGGUCUCAACUAUUUUGUUUAGUUACUUUAUCGAGUUAUUUUACUAGGGUGGCAGCGAGCCUUGUGGUUUUAAUCAUUGUUUGUUAAUUGUUUUAAUUAACAGUCUUGCAGUCUUGGCCCUGCUACCCUAAGAACUCUGAUUUCAGUUCUAUGCUUUUUAGUAGUUUUUCUUAAUAAAUUUUGAUUUGUAAAACUGAUCUGCCUCACCUCUGCUGUUAAUAACUAGCCUGUGGGCUUAGGUAGAUAGUGUAACAUCUACACUGGCUAUAAAAAAAUCUUUCCUGGGGUGUAACUCUCCUCUCAGGUGGCGUUGUCACCUUCCCUGGUUAUCCCUCAUUUGCGCCACCACACAAGGCUAUCACCAGCUUCUGCAGCUCCAUCAACAAGCAUUUGGGCACACUCUCAGGAGGGUGCAUUUGCUCACAGAUGACAGAGGGUGCUUUUAAACCAGUACUCUUAAUAUUUUUUUUUUGACUGAUUCUAUUUGCUCCAUCAUUAUUAGCAAACUUACUCAUGGGCAAAUAAAUAAAUCGCCAGUGGGCUCAGCCUAUAGUUGAUAUAUUCGUCCAAUCACCCAACCCUAGAUCUUACACAGACUGCUAUGCUCCUGAGCCUGGCAGUUGCAAUAAAUGUAGAAAUCUUCUAUCUCACUUAGGCUACAUCCACAGGUACCCGGGUAUUUUUGAAAACACAGAUUUUUCUAUGCAUUUGCACCUUUCGUCCACAUGCAAACGGUGUUUUCGGUCACUGAAAACAGAGAUUUUUAAAAACUCCAGCCAGGGUGGAUAUUUUUGAAACCUCAGUUUUUGCGUUUACGUGGACGAGAAAAAAGGAGAAAACGCAGCAUCAAAGGUGUGCGCAUUUUUUGACGUCAUACUGUGCGCCACGUUAUUGUUUCGAUGAAAUGAGUUUCUACAAUGGUGGACUUACACAAAAUACCAUUACUGUUAAUUUUACUCUGCAGUGUUUAAAUGCUUACACAUUUGCUGUCCCUCCACACAUAGGACUCAGUUCUGCUUCUAUUCGCCAUCUUUGUUUACUCUUUCCCACCCAGGCUGACUUCUGAUUGGCCAACAUUUCUACACGGAUAGGAAUAUAGCGCCACCUGCUGCUUUGGCAUGUUCCUAGCAGCGUUUUCCUUUGUUUUUGGCUUUUACGUGUGGAUGGGAUUUUUUUUUUAAAAAUGGAAAAUCUCAGUUUUCAAAAAUACCCAUGUAAGUGUGGACGUAGCCUUACAUGGAUAAGGAUCAAGAUGACAUGGAAUGAGUUUACUACUAUGAGCAGAAGUUAUUCAUGCUUAACUGUAAAUGUUUACUGUUCUUUUUUUUCAUUAAAUUAAAUAUAACAUUAUCAGCAUCUUAUCAGCACAGUGUGAUGCCAUUCUGGUAGCAGACUUAGCUUUGAUUACACACAGGCACACUGAUGUCUGCAUGGACAUUUGUGCCCACCGUCUGAUGACAUAAUUUACUUUACUAUAGCAGACUUAAGUGCACUCAAUCAUUCUUCACCUUUCUUUCUCUAUUGCCUGCCACUGGUGUAUGUCUAUCUUUUCCAUGUUUAAAGGGCACCCCCCACCCCAAAACAAAAAAACACAUCUGGUGGUAGGCGGUAUUUUCGCCACUGACUCCAAAAUCCACCGUUCCCAAUGCAUAACUGAUUAUUUUUACACAUUCUUUUGCAUUUCAGUUUGUUAGGUUUAUACAGUAAAAUUACUUAUGUAAUUAACAUUCCAUGCUUGAACCAAGUGGGAAACAUUGGAGAAAAAGUCAGAAAUGUUAACUUUGCAUAGCCUGGGGAUAGUUCUUAUCAUCUUUAGGAUGGCUAGAAUAAUUUCCACAACUUAUUGACAACAGCAACUACAGUAUGUGGAUAUCAGUAACCAUACCCUUUCAAUUGUCAGAAUAUUAAAAAAUUAUGUAUACGCAAAUUACAAUUUCAAGCUCAGUUAAACCCAAACUGUUAUAUCAGGCAUCUUACUACUUUUUUACAGUUUUAUUGGAGUACUUAAUGGAGUAUUUCUUCCAACAAUUCCAGUCGGUAAAUAAAGGAAUCGUUAUCAAAUACUGAAUGUCUAUCAACUAAAAGCAGGUUCAAUAAAAAUCAGGGGAUCCUGACAAGAAAUACCUAAAAGGAAAGAAUAAAUACUUACCAUAUAGUUCUUGGCUUCUUCCUGGUUCUUACUAAUCUCCCUUUGGGUUCUCUGCAUUUUCUCCCAAGUGUUGUUCAUUUCUGCACCAGUUUUUUCUAUUUUACCUUUUAUCUCAGUGACAGUAUUUUCCAGUUUUUGUUCAACCCUUUCCUUUUGUCGCUGUAUUUUUGUCUUCAUGAUUUCUAACUCAUCCCUCUCUUUCCUUAUCUUCUCCAGCAAACGCUCAAGCUCCCUUCUUUUUUGCUUUUCUCGAAAAUUUGUCCAUUUCGUUUGAGCCUUUACUUCUGUAAAGUCCCUCAUGCUCUGCUUUGUUUCUUCACCCUUGUUACAAAGCACUUCAUUGUUUUCUUCUUCCUCAGAGAUCAAAUUCUGCAUGUAAGUAUUUGGUUUGUCUUUUUCUACAUUUUCCCUUCCUGUCUUUAGUUUCAUUUCAACUCUCUUUAAAUCAUCUCUUUCAGGCUGGAUGUGUGUCACUUUAAAGCUUAGAUCUGAAUCUUGUUGCUUUUGAUAAUCAAUAUUCAUCUUGAUGUUCAUGUGAUUGUUCUCUGCCAUUAGCUGCUGCUUUGCACUUUGAGUCACUUCCAGUUGUUGUUCACUGUCUUCCAGCACAUCCCAAAGUUUCUCCAUCUCUUCCUGGAUUCUACACAGUUUUCUCUUCACUGUGUCAAAUGUGGCUUUUCCAUCGUUUCUUUCUCUCUGUCCUUCUUUAUACAUGUGAAUUUUCUUCAUUUCAGCCUGUUUUAUAAUGCUUGCCCAUCUGUGCUUGACCAUGUUGAUCUUUACAUACAUAAUAUGUUUAAUGUGGUUAAUUUGUUCACUGUUUUUUGAAAUGUCCUUUUUAUUUCUUUUUAAUGCUUGCUGUAUGUUUGCUUUAGUUUUCUCCAUUUUUUCUUUAACUUUCUUUACUUCAAGCAUUAUUUCCCUGUUUUUCUCAGUUGCAUUCUCCAGUAUAUCCAGUUCCCGCUUUACCUGCUCAUUAAGGGGCUCUUUGGGUUCCUCCCUUAUUGGUGAUUCUGUCUUACUAGCUUUUAUAGUGUCUAGCUUGUGUCGCUCGUUGAUGAAGUAUUGACGUCUUCUGUCCAGAGUAUCCUUUUCUUGAUAUAUUUUAGUCCACGUUUUCAGAAAGUUUGUUUUUUCCUUAGCAACUGAAUUUUUGCUUUGUUUGAGUUUCUCAGUUAUAUUUUUUAUUUGGAAGUUAAAUUGCUUUAAUAGUAGGUGAUGUUUAUUUUUUUCAGAUGUCAGUCUCUCAAUGUCUUCCUGUUGCCCCUCUGUCUUUGUCUUUAAGAAGUCAAUUUCAUUUGUCUUUCUUUCUGUCUGUCUCCAGAGUUGUUCGAUCUCCUCCAUUGCUUGACAUAUCAGUUGCCUUUGUCUUUUUAAAGUUUCUUUUUGGGUUUUCAUGUCAGUUCUUGUUUGUUUGCUAUCUGAUUGCUUUCUGUUUUCCAUUGUUGAGUUCCAUUCUGUUGUCAUCCUGCUGUCUUUGUUCUGUUGGUAAAAAUAAAUGAAUAAACAAAGUGGCCAAACCAUAACUAACAAAUGACAAGACAUUCUAAACUCAUACUGUGUUGGAAGAUAACAAGUAAAAGAGGGAUAACCAGAAAUUGACAGAUGGAUUGGGGCCACAACUGCAGUCAUGUGGAUUCUGUACCAGUCCAUCAUGGUGAACAGAGAGCUAAAUAUAAAAGCGAAGAUCUCAAUUUACUGUUUGCUCUACAUCCCUACCCUCACCUAUGGUCAUAAGCUUUGGGUAGUGAUUGAAAGAACAAGAUCACAGAUACAAGCAUGACAUUAGCUUUUUCUGAAGGGUGGCUGCUAAUCCUGCACAUUGAAAGAAGCCAGUUCGGGUGGUUUGUGUGUCCCACAGGGCGGAGGCCCUGGAGGCCUGGGGUUCUCUGCUUAGACUGCUGCCCCCACGACCCAGCCACAGAGAAGAUGGAUAAAUGACAUAAUUGUUUAUAUCACAUUUACAGUAUUUUUUUGGCAACAAUGUAAUAAUGUAGUUGGGUUAUCUGAGGUCUGUUCUAUAGCAAAUGUAGAAAAAAUGUUUUAAGAAGAGCCAAUAUAACUCAGUGUUCUAAAGAAUGUGACUGUUUCCUUGCAAGACCAUAGCGCGGCUACGUCUGCAGCCUGUCCACAGCUUGGACACAAACAUUUCACUGCAUGUGUUACUCUGUAUGAUUGUUGUUUAAUGCUUUUUAAAAUCAUAUUCAAGUAGAUUUUGAAAUGAAGAUAGCUUGUAUUUUUGUUUUUUGCAUUAGAGGUGUUUAAGAAAAGUUGAGUUUUGUAAUUGCAUUUUUACCUUGUUUAUACUUGUACUUUUUUUUUUUUUUAAUAAAUAUCUUGUAUGUAAGGUGACCUUGAGGGUCUUUAAAGGUGCUUAUAAAUAAAAUGUAUUGUUGUUGUUGUUAUUGUUAUUGUUAUUGUUGUUAUUAUUGUUAUUAUUGUUAUUAUUGUUAUUAUUGUUAUUGUUGUUAUUGUUAUUGUUGUUAUUGUUGUUAUUAUUGUUGUUGUUGUUGUUAUAUUUUUUCUCAAUAAUAAUAAUAAUAACACAAAUGCAUAAGCUGCAAACAUGUUAUAUAGUUGUUUGGAAUAGAAUUACAAUGAGAUUAUCUUGGUUUAACAAGAGGUAACUGGAUAUGUUCAGACUUUAAAUGUAAACAUAGCCAAUUUGCAUUGAAUUACCC